rnacentral:pre_miRNA from 1 species
AUUCUACUCCCUCCAUUGCACAAUACAACAUGCCUUCUAUUUGUCAAAAUAUAUAUGUAUCUAGACAUGUCUUAGUAUAUAGGUACAUCCAUUUUUGGACAAAUGGAAGUCAAGUAUUUUGGAACGGAGGGAGUACACA